AGUGAACGCUGGCGGUAGGCCUAACACAUGCAAGUCGAACGGCAGCACAGUAAGAGCUUGCUCUUACGGGUGGCGAGUGGCGGACGGGUGAGGAAUACAUCCGAAUCUACUUUUUCGUGGGGGAUAACGUAGGGAAACUUACGCUCAUACCGCAUACGACCUACGGGUGAAAGCAGGGGAACUUCGGACCUUGUGGGGUUGAAUGAGCCGAUGUCGGAUUAGCUAGUGGGCGGGGUAAUGGCCCACGCAGGCGACGAUCCGUAGCUGGACUGAGUGGAUGGUAGGCGACACUGGAGCUGGGACACGGACCAGACUCCUAAGGGAGGGAGCAGUGGGGUAUAUUGGACAAUGGGCGCAAGUCUGAUCCAGCCAUACCGAGUGGGUGGAGAAGGCGUUCGGGUUGGAAAGCCCUUUUGUUGGGAAAGAAAAGCAGCAGGUUGAUACCCCGCUGUACUGACGGUACCCAAAGAAUAAGCACCGGCUAACUUCGUG
rnacentral:rRNA from 1 species